rnacentral:rRNA from 1 species
UGGGGAAUAUUGGACAAUGGGGGCAACCCUGAUCCAGCAAUGCCGCGUGUGUGAAGAAGGCCUUCGGGUUGUAAAGCACUUCAAUAGGGAGGAAAAGUUAUGCGUUAAUAGCGUAUAGCCGUGACG